UCGGUGUGAGGUAGUAGGUUGUAUUGUUGAAAUAUUACACCCCAAUUGGCGGACAUAACUAUACAACUUGCUAGCUUUCCUCGA
rnacentral:pre_miRNA from 1 species